GAUGAACGCUGGCGGCGUGCCUAAUACAUGCAAGUCGAGCGAACGGACGAGGAACUUGCUUCUCUGAUGUUAGCGGCGGACGGGUGAGUAACACGUGGAUAACCUACCUAUAAGACUGGGAUAACUUCGGGAAACCGGAGCUAAUACCGGCUAAUAUUUUGAACCGCAUGGUUCAAAAGUGAAAGACGGUCUUGCUGUCACUUAUAGAUGGAUCCGCGCUGCAUUAGCUAGUUGGUAAGGUAACGGCUUACCAAGGCAACGAUGCAUAGCCGACCUGAGAGGGUGAUCGGCCACACUGGAACUGAGACACGGGCCAGACUCCUACGGGAGGCAGCAGUAGGGAAUCUUCCGCAAUGGGCGAAAGCCUGACGGAGCAACGCCGCGUGAGUGAUGAAGGCCUUCGGAUCGUAAAACUCUGUUAUUAGGGAAGAACAUAUGUGUAAGUAACUGUGCACAUCUUGACGGUACCUAAUCAGAAAGCCCCGGCUAACUACGUG
rnacentral:rRNA from 1 species